rnacentral:rRNA from 1 species
AGAGUUUGAUCUGGCUCAGAACGAACGCUGGCGGCGUGCCUAAUACAUGCAAGUCGAGCGAGAAAGCCCGCAAGGGUGAGUAAAGCGGCGAACGGGUGAGUAACACGUGGGUAACCUGCCUUCGGAUUGGGAAUAAGCUUUCGAAAGAGGGUCUAAUACCGAAUAACAUCGUCGGGUGGCAUCACCUGGCGAUCAAAGGCGGCUUCGGCUGUCGUCUGAAGAGGGGCCCGCGGUCCAUUAGCCAGUUGGCGGGGUAAAGGCCCACCAAAGCUACGAUGGAUAGCCGGCCUGAGAGGGUGUCCGGCCACACUGGGACUGAGAUACCGCCCAGACUCCUACGGGAGGCAGCAGUAGGGAAUAUUGGGCAAUGCCCGCAAGGGUGACCCAGCGACGCCGCGUGGGCGAUGAAGCUCCUUGGAGUGUAAAGCCCUGUCGGGAGGGAAGAACGGUCGCAAUCCUAAUACGGUUGCGGCUUGACGGUACCUUCAGAGGAAGCUCCGGCCAACUCCGUGCCAGCAGCCGCGGUAACACGGGGGGAGCAAGCGUUGUUCGGAAUCACUGGGUGUAAAGGGCUCGCAGGUGGGAAAGCAGGUCAGAUGUGAAAACCUACGGCUUAACCGUGGGCCUGCAUCUGAAACCACUUUUCUUGAGUAUCGGAGAGGAAAGCGGAACUCCUGGUGUAGCGGUGAAAUGCGUAGAUAUCAGGAGGAACGCCGGUGGCGAAGGCGGCUUUCUGGCCGAAUACUGACGCUCAGGAGCGAANGCCGGGGGAGCAAACAGGAUUAGAUACCCUGGUAGUCCCGGCAGUAAACGAUGGGUACUAGGUGAUGGAGGGGAUUGACCCUUUCAGUGCCGAAGCUAACGCAUUAAGUACCCCACCUGGGGAGUACGGCCGCAAGGUUGAACUCAAAGGAAUUGANGGGGGCCGCACAAGCAGUGGAGUAUGUGGUUCAAUUCGACGCACGCGAGACCUUACCUGGGUUUGAAAUG